rnacentral:rRNA from 1 species
UUCCGGUUGAUCCCGCCGGACCCGACUGCUAUCAGAGUGGGACUAAGCCAUGCGAGUCGACGUAGCAAUGCGUGGCGAACGGCUCAGUAACACGUAGUCAACAUGCCCAGGGGACGUGGAUAACCUCGGGAAACUGAGAAUAAACCACGAUAGGUCACGAUUUCUGGAAUGGAUCAUGGCAUAAAUCUACAUGGCCCCUGGAUUGGACUGCGGCCGAUCAGGCAGUUGGUGAGGUAAUGGCCCACCAAACCUAUAACCGGUACGGGCUCUGAGAGGAGAAGCCCGGAGAUGGGCACUGAGACAAGGGCCCAGGCCCUAUGGGGCGCAGCAGGCGCGAAACCUCUGCAAUAGGCGAAAGCCUGACAGGGUUACUCUGAGUGAUUUCCGCUAAGGGGAUCUUUUGGCACCUCUAAAAAUGGUGCAGAAUAAGGGGUGGGCAAGUCUGGUGUCAGCCGCCGCGGUAAUACCAGCACCCCGAGUGGUCGGGACGAUUAUUGGGCCUAAAGCAUCCGUAGCCGGUUCUGCAAGUCUUCCGUUAAAUCCAGCCGCUCAACGGAUGGGCCGCGGAGGAUACUAUAGGACUAGGAGGCGGGAGAGGCAAGCGGUACUCAGUGGGUAGGGGUAAAAUCCUUUGAUCCAUUGAAGACCACCAGUGGCGAAGGCGGCUUGCCAGAACACGCUCGACGGUGAGGGAUGAAAGCUGGGGGAGCAAACCGGAUUAGAUACCCGGGUAGUCCCAG